rnacentral:rRNA from 1 species
GACGAACGCUGGCGGUGUGCUUAACACAUGCGAGUCGAACGGUAAGGCCCUUUCGGGGGUACACGAGUGGCGCACGGGUGAGUAACACGUGAGUAACCUGCCCUCAUCUCUGGGAUAACAGUCGGAAACGGUUGCUAAUACUGGAUAUGAGCUUGCAAGGCAUCUUGUGGGUUGGAAAGAUUUUUUUUGGUUGGGGAUGGACUCGCGGCCUAUCAGCUUGUUGGUGAGGUAGUGGCUCACCAAGGCUUCGACGGGUAGCCGGCCUGAGAGGGCGACCGGCCACAUUGGGACUGAGAUACGGCCCAAACUCCUACGGGAGGCAGCAGUGGGGAAUAUUGCACAAUGGACGGAAGUCUGAUGCAGCAACGCCGCGUGCGGGAUGACGGCCUUCGGGUUGUAAACCGCUUUCAAUUGUGACGAAGCUUUUUUGUGACGGUAGCAGUAGAAGAAGCACCGGCUAACUACGUG